ACAGAGGUGCCAAGCGUUAGGCGGAAUCACUGGGCUUAAAGCGUGUGUAGGCGGAAUGGUAAGUACCUUGUGAAAUCCCACGGCUCAACCGUGGAACUGCUUGGUAUACUGCUUUUCUUGAGCCACUUAGGGGCAACCGGAACAAACGGUGGAGCGGUGAAAUGCGUAGAUAUCGUUUGGAACGCCAAUGGUGAAAACAGGUUGCUGGGAGUGUGCUGACGCUGAGACACGAAAGCCAGGGGAGCAAACGGGA
rnacentral:rRNA from 1 species